UAGAUACCCCACUAUGCCUAAAAGUAACAAGGCAACAAAACCAACACAAGUUGCUCGCCAAACCACUACGAGUGAAAACUUAAAACUUAAAAGACUUGACGGUACUUCACCCAACCUAGAGGAGCCUGUCUAAUAACCGAUAACCCACGAUCAACCCAACCGCCACUAGCCACUCAGCCUAUAUACCGCCGUCGCCAGCCCACCUUGUGAAAGAAACCAAGUGGGCACAAUAGUCACACACUAACACGACAGGUCGAGGUGUAGCUUAUGGGGCGGACAAAGAUGGGCUACAUUAUCUAAACCAGAUAAAACGGAAAAAGCCGUGAAAACCAAGCCUUAUGAAGGAGGAUUUAGCAGUAAGAUGAGGACAUAAUACUCAACUGAAAACAAAGAAAUGAAGUGCGUACACACCGCCCGUCACC
rnacentral:rRNA from 1 species